GCUGUGGCUCAGUGGUAUAGCCUCUGCUUGGCGUUCAGAAGGUCCCAGUUUCAAUCCCUGGCAUCUCCA
rnacentral:tRNA from 1 species